GAUGAACGCUGGCGGCGUGCCUAAUACAUGCAAGUCGAGCGAACAGACGAGGAGCUUGCUCCUCUGACGUUAGCGGCGGACGGGUGAGUAACACGUGGAUAACCUACCUAUAAGACUGGGAUAACUUCGGGAAACCGGAGCUAAUACCGGAUAAUAUAUUGAACCGCAUGGUUCAAUAGUGAAAGACGGUUUUGCUGUCACUUAUAGAUGGAUCCGCGCCGCAUUAGCUAGUUGGUAAGGUAACGGCUUACCAAGGCAACGAUGCGUAGCCGACCUGAGAGGGUGAUCGGCCACACUGGAACUGAGACACGGUCCAGACCCUACGGGAGGCAGCAGUAGGGAAUCUUCCGCAAUGGGCGAAAGCCUGACGGAGCAACGCCGCGUGAGUGAUGAAGGUCUUCGGAUCGUAAAACUCUGUUAUUAGGGAAGAACAAAUGUGUAAGUAACUAUGCACGUCUUGACGGUACCUAAUCAGAAAGCCACGGCUAACUACGUG
rnacentral:rRNA from 1 species